UACGGAGGGUGCGAGCGUUGUCCGGAAUCACUGGGCGUAAAGGGCGCGUAGGCGGCCUGGUAAGUAGGGGGUGAAAUCCUGCGGCUUAACCGCAGGGCUGCCUUCUAAACUGUCAGGCUGGAGCACAGUAGAGGCAGGUGGAAUUCCCGGCGUAGCGGUGGAAUGCGUAGAGAUCGGGAAGAACAUCAGUGGCGAAGGCGGCCUGCUGGGCUGUUGCUGACGCUGAGGCGCGACAGCGUGGGGAGCGAACAGG
rnacentral:rRNA from 1 species